UACGGAGGGGGCUAGCGUUGUUCGGAAUUACUGGGCGUAAAGCGCGCGCAGGCGGCCCUUUAAGUCUACCCGUGAAAUGCCGGAGCUCAACUCCGUGCACGCCGGGGGAUACUGGAGGGCUGGAGACAGGUAGAGGCAGGCGGAAUUCCGGGUGUAGCGGUGGAAUGCGUAGAGAUCCGGAAGAACACCAGAGGCGAAGGCGGCCUGCUGGGCCUUGUCUGACGCUGAGGCGCGAAAGCGUGGGGAGCAAACAGG
rnacentral:rRNA from 1 species